GACGGACGCUGGCGGCGUGCCUAAUACAUGCAAGUAGAACGCACAGUUUAUACCGUAGCUUGCUACACCAUAGACUGUGAGUUGCGAACGGGUGAGUAACGCGUAGGUAACCUGCCUGGUAGCGGGGGAUAACUAUUGGAAACGAUAGCUAAUACCGCAUAAUAUUAAUUAUUGCAUGAUAAUUAAUUGAAAGGUGCAAUUGCACCACUACCAGAUGGACCUGCGUUGUAUUAGCUAGUAGGUGAGGUAACGGCUCACCUAGGCGACGAUACAUAGCCGACCUGAGAGGGUGAUCGGCCACACUGGGACGGAGACACGGCCCAGACUCCUACGGGAGGCAGCAGUAGGGAAUCUUCGGCAAUGGACGAAAGUCUGACCGAGCAACGCCGCGUGAGUGAAGAAGGUUUUCGGAUCGUAAAGCUCUGUUGUAAGAGAAGAACGGGUGUGAGAGUGGAAAGUUCACACUGUGACGGUAUCUUACCAGAAAGGGACGGCUAACUACGUG
rnacentral:rRNA from 1 species